rnacentral:tRNA from 1 species
ACUGCUAUAGUUUAAAAAGAACAUUAGUUUGUGGAACUAAAGGAGGGCAACCCUGGCGGUA